CUAACAUCUUCUGAGUGACAUAACCUGGAUUUCUGAUGGGCCGGUGUCUUUCUAACAAAAACUAAUGACUUGACUGAGGCCACUGCACAGAUUGAGAAAACCACAAUGAACAUCUGUCUCCAGAGGAUGCACCAGGCAAUGACUUUUCUGAUGUUGGCAUCAUCAUCGAGGGUAUAGUAGUUCUUCAAGAUCUGGAUAACGUGACCUUUGCAGUAGCCAUGCUGUUUGGACCUUUUUUAUUCCUUCAAUAUGAGUUACCCAUCACAACUCUGCUACACUUUUGAGGUGAUUCAAAGGGUGGUAAUGGAGUUGGAUGCAACUCAGCUCUCAAGAAAAACUCACAACUAAGACAAAACUGCUCCUGCAAUGAAGCUCACUGUUAUGCAUGCAAGCUGAUCAGCUCUAGUGAAGAGAUGUAGCAUGAACAGUUAUGCAGUCUAAAUAUCCCAUAUGGGUCGUGUGAAAUGUUAUUUUCAGUUUCAUUCAGUUGAAGUAAAGAACGUUGAAUAUUUCUAAGUGUGCUGUUUUGAACCAAGAUGUCACAGUAUGAUCAGUGCUGUAAUUUUUGACAGUCACUGUAUCAAUGUUAUUUUUGCAUCUCUUGAAUAAAGGUUUUGACCUGCAA
ensembl:lncRNA